UACGAAGGGGGCUAGCGUUGCUCGGAAUUACUGGGCGUAAAGCGCACGUAGGCGGCUUCUUAAGUCGGUGGUGAAAUCCUGGAGCUCAACUCCAGAACUGCCUUCGAUACUGAGAGUCUCGAGUCCGGGAGAGGUGAGUGGAACUGCGAGUGUAGAGGUGAAAUUCGUAGAUAUUCGCAAGAACACCAGUGGCGAAGGCGGCUCACUGGCCCGGUACUCGACGCUGAGGUGCGAAAGCGAUGGGGAGCAAACUG
rnacentral:rRNA from 1 species